GGUUCACACACCAGGGUCACACAGGGGUCUGGUUGGCCGCAGCAAGGCUCACAGCACGAUGGUUCGCAGGUCCCGGACUCACAGCAGAUCGGCUGGCAGCAAACAGGCUCACAGCAGGCGGGUUCGCAGCAAACAGGCUCACAGCAGAAGUAGCAGAGAAGACAGGAAACAUGAUGCAGAGACACCUUGGAAAGAUGUCCUGAAAUGACAAGACAUUGAACAGUUCCAUCAGGAGGUGAGCCCAAGCGGCGAAUGCCGAUCGAUUGCAUGGGAUCACAUGGUUGGGAUGUCUAUUUUUUUUUUUUAAUUUCUCACCCAUAUAGGUCUUUGUCUCACUGCCUCAUCAUCAAAGAUCGGGCAUUGGAGAAGUGGCAUUCCUCCUCUGUGUAGACCCGAGACCAAUCCAAA
rnacentral:lncRNA from 1 species